rnacentral:pre_miRNA from 1 species
AUGACCAGCAUACCAGUGGUGCUGUGCUGGGAGGAAUGCUGCAUGGUCUGAUGCUUUUGCUGCGACACAAGCCUCGGACCAGGCUUCAUUCCCCUCAGCUCAGUCUCAUAUUGACGGUUCAAG